GGAGCUGUAGCUCAAUGGAUAGAGCAUCCGCCUUCUAAGCGGACGGCUGUGGGUUCGAGCCCCGCCAGCUCCA
rnacentral:tRNA from 1 species